CCCAGACUCCUACGGGAGGCAGCAGUGGGGAAUAUUGCACAAUGGGGGAAACCCUGAUGCAGCGACGCCGCGUGAGCGAAGAAGUAUUUCGGUAUGUAAAGCUCUAUCAGCAGGGAAGAAAAAAAUGACGGUACCUGAGUAAGAAGCACCGGCUAAAUACGUGCCAGCAGCCGCGGUAAUACGUAUGGUGCAAGCGUUAUCCGGAUUUACUGGGUGUAAAGGGGGCGCAGACGGCGAUGCAAGCCAGGAGUGAAAGCCCGGGGCCCAACCCCGGGACUGCUCUUGGAACUGCGUGGCUGGAGUGCAGGAGGGGCAGGCGGAAUUCCUGGUGUAGCGGUGAAAUGCGUAGAUAUCAGGAGGAACACCGGUGGCGAAGGCGGCCUGCUGGACUGCAACUGACGUUGAGGCCCGAAAGCGUGGGGAGCAAACAGGAUUAGAUACCCUCGUA
rnacentral:rRNA from 1 species